rnacentral:rRNA from 1 species
UACGGGGGGAGCAAGCGUUGUUCGGAUUUACUGGGCGUAAAGGGCGCGUAGGCGGCCACCGCAAGUCGACUGUGAAAUCUCCGGGCUUAACCCGGAAAGGUCAGCCGAUACUGCGGGGCUAGAGUGCAGAAGGGGCAACUGGAAUUCUCGGUGUAGCGGUGAAAUGCGUAGAUAUCAGGAGGAACACCGAUGGCGAAGGCAGGUCACUGGGCCGCAACUGACGCUGAGGAGCGAAAGCAUGGGGAGCGAACAGG